rnacentral:tRNA from 1 species
AGUAGGGUCAGCUAAAAAAGCUUUUGGGCCCAUACCCCAAACAUGUUGGUUAAAAUCCUUCCCCUGCUA